AACUGUUCUGUAUUUUGAUUAUGGUAGUGAUUACAUGAAUCUAUACAUGCAUUAAAAUUCAUAGAACUUUACACAAAAAAGAAAAAAAAGAAUAAAAUU